GGGAUUUCUCACAUGAGGUUUUCUUCUCUCUUUUGGUCUCUAACUGAGGCACAGGUGCUGUUCCUGCUCCAAGGGCCGCUCCCUCGCCUCCUCCCACCUGUGUGAGCAGCCCAGGUGCCCGGCAGGAUCUGGCACUGCCCCAGGGUCUGCCCGGCCCUGCCGGUGCGGCUGCUUUCUCUGGAGCUGCCUCUGCAGGGCGCUGCUCUUUGUGCACAAGUCAAGCAAAAGAACAGUCUGCAGCUCCCUGACUCUGCCAGCACAGAGGAGUCCUGGCCUGGAGGAUUGGGUGGCUCAAGGGGCCAAGCAGAGCUUUCCACUCGAUCGAUCCCAGCUCUGCUGAAGCCGUCUCUGCCUCAGCUGGGAGGAGCCGUGACUCCAGGAGUACUGGCUUGCUCUUUUCUCAUUUUGGGGGAUUCUCAGCAUGGGCAGGAGGGCUGA
rnacentral:lncRNA from 1 species